rnacentral:rRNA from 1 species
CAGCCGCCACGGUAAUACGUAGGUGGCAAGCGUUGUCCGGAAUUAUUGGGCGUAAAGGGCUCGCAGGCGGUUUCUUAAGUCUGAUGUGAAAGCCCCCGGCUCAACCGGGGAGGGUCAUUGGAAACUGGGAAACUUGAGUGCAGAAGAGGAGAGUGGAAUUCCACGUGUAGCGGUGAAAUGCGUAGAGAUGUGGAGGAACACCAGUGGCGAAGGCGACUCUCUGGUCUGUAACUGACGCCGAGGAGUGAAAGCGUGGGGAGCGAACAGGAUUAGAUACCCCUGUAGUCCCUGUCUCUUAUAC